rnacentral:rRNA from 1 species
UACGAAGGGUGCAAGCGUUACUCGGAAUUACUGGGCGUAACGCGUGCGUAGGUGGUUUGUUAAGUCUGAUGUGAAAGCCCUGGGCUCAACCUGGGAACUGCAUUGGAUACUGGCUUACUAGAGUGCGGUAGAGGGUGGCGGAAUUCCCGGUGUAGCAGUGAAAUGCGUAGAUAUCGGGAGGAACAUCCGUGGCGAAGGCGGCCACCUGGACCAGCACUGACACUGAGGCACGAAAGCGUGGGGAGCAAACAGG